rnacentral:rRNA from 1 species
GUUAGUAACACGUGGAUAACCUACCUAUAAGACUGGGAUAACUUCGGGAAACCGGAGCUAAUACCGGAUAAUAUAUCGAACCGCAUGGUUCAAUAGUGAAAGACGGUUUUGCUGUCACUUAUAGAUGGAUCCGCGCCGCAUUAGCUAGUUGGUAAGGUAACGGCUUACCAAGGCGACGAUGCGUAGCCGACCUGAGAGGGUGAUCGGCCACACUGGAACUGAGACACGGUCCAG